rnacentral:misc_RNA from 1 species
AAAAAAAAAAAAAAAAAACAAUAGAGCCAAACAGAACACACACCACUAAAAAAUCCCCCCCCAAAAAAAAAGAGAAAAGAAGAAAACCCUAUUAAAGCACUUUGAAUUUAACAUUAAUCGGACGCGAAAAUGAAUAACAGUGACGCUGUUUCUGUUGUUGGUGUUCAGAGCAAGCCUCACAGGCUAACGAAUAGGAAUCGAAUGCCGAUUGGAAUCGGUAUCGGAAUCGGCAUCCGAAUAUGAAAAAACUCGUCUUGGAUUCGCGCGAUUUCAAUUCCAUAAUCAAAUUCCUAUUGGGAAUCGGUUUCCACAUCUUCAUUGCAACCCUAUUUUCACCCAUCUAGGCAUCCACAUCCUCAAUUUUGAUAAGAAAUCCCUAUAAAGAUAAAGAGAAAAGGUGUAGGAUUUGAAAUAAGUGAUGAACACAGAAGAGAAUUUACAAG